rnacentral:rRNA from 1 species
UACAGGGGGGUGCAAACGUUGCUCGGAAUUAUUGGGCGUAAAGCGCGCGUAGGCGGCUACCUAAGUCGGAUGUGAAAGCCCCUGGCUUAACCGGGGAAGUGCACCCGAAACUGGGUAGCUAGAGUGCAAAAGAGGGUCGCGGAAUUCCCAGUGUAGAGGUGAAAUUCGUAGAUAUUGGGAGGAACACCGGUGGCGAAGGCGGCGACCUGGGUUGACACUGACGCUGAGGCGCGAAAGCGUGGGGAGCAAACAGG